rnacentral:rRNA from 1 species
UACGAAGGGGGCUAACGUUGCUCGGAAUCACUGGGCGUAAAGGGUGCGUAGGCGGGUCUUUAAGUCAGGGGUGAAAUCCUGGAGCUCAACUCCAGAACUGCCUUUGAUACUGAAGAUCUUGAGUCCGGGAGAGGUGAGUGGAACUGCGAGUGUAGAGGUGAAAUUCGUAGAUAUUCGCAAGAACACCAGUGGCGAAGGCGGCUCACUGGCCCGGUACUGACGCUGAGGCACGAAAGCGUGGGGAGCAAACAGG